GACUUGACCUUCUCGCCGCCCCAGAGGUCCUCACCCGCGGCGCUGGAGUCCGACGAGGAGAACGGGGACGAGCUCAAGGCCAGCACGGGCUCAGCGCCUAUCCUGGUCGCCAUGGUGAUCCUGCUCAACAUCGGCGUCGCCAUCCUGUUCAUUAACUUCUUCAUCUGACGGGACUGCCGCGUGAGCAGCACGCCGGUGUACAGAGGGACGUUCGCAGCAGGAUGACGGAGCGAAGCCCGAGGCCCGGACGGCCCGACCACGACUCCGAGUCUUUCCACAGAACCACACGAAGGGGUAUUACUCACAGUUUGCCUUUUUUUCUGGGUAAUGUUUUCGGAUUUUAGCCAGAACUCUCUGCUUGGGUAACACUAUGCUGUGUGGCAUGGCAGAAGGAGGCCCGCACGCCGACCCCCCGGCUUGCCGCGGAGAAAAGGAUCCCAGCAAACCACCGGCAACACGUCCUCACGGUGGUCAGCGUCCCCCCCCGGGACGUGGAUGAGGCGGAGCCGGGGCAGAGCCCUGGGGGUCCCGCUGUGCCGGGCGCGGGCGCGGCCUUUCCUCGGCGUCGGAGGCGCGGUGCCAGGCCCGGGUGAGGCGGGAGGGCCCCUCCCCAGCUGGCCGCGGCCUGGGCCCUCUUCUGUCCCUGUCUGUGCUGUGUCCCUCGGGGAGCAGAGCCCUGCUGUCUCUCCUCCCGGGACGGGGGCACAGCCCUGCCCUCUCACUGCCCCACAGCUUUCCUCACGGGGUCCUAAAGUCAGGUCCUCACUGUCCCCACUGUCUCCCCUCCCCUCAGACCCCCGGGGGCCCCGGGAGCGCCCUCACCUGCACAGGCUGAUGAGGGCCUGGGCCCCAGCACGUGGCCUCCUGCACGUAGGAUGCAGGCGGCGCCCAGGCUCCCGUGACCCUGUCGGACGCCCGAGGCAGCCGGGGCCCCCGUGACGUCCCCUUCUGUCACUGAGCCAUGGGUUUGCACUCUUUCGUCCUGUGCCUGCCUCGACCUCUGACUCCUUCCAGAGGCCUCAUCCAUUCAGACUCCGGAGCUGGCCUGGUCCCAGGACAGGCAUGCGGUGGAGACCCGGUGGCUUGAAAACUCCCGAGCAGUCACGACACGCCCCUCUCCCCCCAGAUAUGCAACGUACCUAGGUUCAGUCGGCAGAACCAGGCUCCCGGGGUCUGGGCUCUGCUGGCGCGGUUCCGCCCACCAAACGAAAGACGAGGUCCUCGACGGUGGGGUGGCCGGGGUCCCGGCGCGUGGCUGGGCGGCAGCGCACGGGCCGCACGCAGGCCUGGGACGGUCCUGGCCGCCACCGCGGACUCUGCCUUGCUUUGCUUCCGUUCAGCUGUCUCUCUGCUGCCUUUCAAGCAGCCUUCUUUACUACACUGCACUGGAUUGCUAUAUUUUUAACCAGAAAUAAACGAAAGAUUAGAGCAUGUUCCAG
rnacentral:lncRNA from 1 species